UCCCGCUCUGACGUCAUCCCGUGCGCUGGAGGAGGCGUAGACAGCCCUGCACGCAGCCCGUGGGCCCUGGUGCGCGCUGCCCGCGCCUGGAGCCCAAGCCCAAGGAGGGCAGUGGGGGUGCGGGCCGCCCCCCAGCAAGUCCGAGCCGCCCCCUGGGAUCCUGCGGACCACUUUCUGGUCCCAGGUGUCCUAAGGCUCGACCUACUGUUGCUGCCGCCUGCUAAGCAGAAAGCCGUUUUUAAGUCACUUUAAAAUACCUUGCAAGACAAUUACUGUGACAUCCUCAGGUGCCAUGAAGGCGUGAUCGAUUUUAGUCUGUGCCCACAGGGAAGUUCCGGAAGCGAAAGCUCACACGUCCUUUCUGGACCCGCACUGGCUCAUCAACCAGAUAAUAAAAAUAUUGAAUGAUUGCCUAAGGAAGAAUGGACCGCCCCUUCCUUUAAAUACGCAAGAAUAUAUUUGAGAGAAGAAAAAGAAAGCAUCCCUGAGAGAGAUCCAUGGGCUCCUUCCUGCAUGCCUCCUGCUGGGGACGGAGUCUGCAACCAGAGCAUGUGCCCUGACCAUGAACCUACCAGUGUAUGGGAUAGCACCCAACUAACUGAGCCACACUGGCCAGAGCAACUUAGUUCUAAAUACAGAACAGAAAGUAGGCUCUUUGGUUGACCUGCGUGAGAACACUUGUUUAGCUCUUCUCUUCCUUGGUUAA